GUACAAGGACAAUUUGAAAUCAGACUCCAGUGAUACGUUGUCGGACGGGGAGAUUCAGUUGGAGGACUCUGACUCUCAGGGACCGCGGGCGUCUUCUGAAGCUCCAGGUGGGAUCAGUUCUGGAGAAGUCGUCUGUGAUGCUCUCGAGAACAAGGAUGCUGAAGGAGAAACCACCAACGGAGAACGUCAAGUGGAAAAGACGACAGACACGAACCCGGACAGCUUUGAGAGCCGAUAUACCGAUGGAGAGCUGCUGGGAAAGGGAGGCUUCGGUUCAGUCUACAAAGGUGACCAAAAGGCGAAUGGGAACCAGCAGGUAGAAGUUCCAUGCGCUGUACCCGAGACGGACGACAUCACAGAGGGAACGUCACGUGUGGUUGAGGACGUCUCUGAGCUGCACAAGUGCUAUGAGG